AGCCACUGCAAACGAAACACAAUUGAGUCACAUCAUGUAUCCCACGAGGACGUGUGUGCCUUUUCUCUGUCACCCCGAGUCCCUCUCUGAGGCUAACAAGCAAGAUCAACAUGCUCAGAAAGCAAUGGAGUGAGACAUGCCUUCUGUCUGGAUCAGGAGUGGGAAGAUAAAUUGAGCUGUGUAGAAAUGCCUUCUAACGUGGUCCCUGUCUCCUCACCCCAUUCAUGAGCUGACCUCCUAACAAGAAGAAAGAGAUGUAUUUUAACUCAAGGGAUUGUUUCUAUCUCUGUGACCAAUCUGCCUCCUCUCCUUCACAGAGUUUUCCAUUUCAAAAGCCCAUUUGAGGCAAAGCCUGCUGUUACCAUCAGCAAAGCUCUGGACAGUGGCACCAUGGGGGAGAGAUCAUUCUCUUUGUCUUACCUGAAACUAUUGCUUUUACCCAGUGUCCAUCUCUUCCCAUCUGGAUCCCUCUGUGAAGUGUGGUUCUUUUAUGGGAUAUCCAACUAGGAGCAGAGUCUUACAAGCUGCAAGGACUGCUGUGACGUUUGGGGACUUCAGUUUCAUUCUCAUCUUCUCUGUGCUUCCCAGUUGCACAAGGAAGAUUUUUUUCUUCAUUUUUUUGUGAGUUGUCACACCCUUUCUCUAUUCUUGAUUGAUUUAUGGAGGUUUGCAGGGAAGCUUAAUUGUCUAUUUUCUUAGUACCACAGGAGUGUCUCCUUGAGGCAAGUUGAUAUGCUUACAAGAGGUGAAGAAUUGGUGAGAAAUGGCUGGUCUAUGCUACAGAAGAAGAACUCGUGCUACAGAGUCAGAACCAAGCUAGCCAUCUGGGGCUUUGCAGUUCAAGGUGGCUCUUUUGUCCUCAGGAGACCACAAGAGUCAGAGAAAUACCACUUUCACAAUCCCUGCCUUUCUCAACAACACUCAAACCAUUCCUUGUUAGAGUUCUCUCUUGUGUAGCAAACAUUUCCAAAACUGGCAUCAUAAGCUUCAAGGAGGAUCAUCCUCAACUCAGUGGGGGAAAGACAACAUUAUCAACAAGCAGGGGAGCUAUGAAUACUCUCCCUAGCUCAAUACAUAAACCUGAUUGUAAAAAGCUGUGAGGAAAUAACUUUGAAAUGAUACAAGACCUGAAGAAUGUUCCAGGUGACCCAAUCUAUCCUGACACUCAACAUUUCCAGUACUUCCGGCAUUCCUAUGGUCUCCUUCCUACCCCAUUCUCCUCCACAUAGCCACCCCACAAGACCAGGUGAGAAACUCUUGAAGGAGGCCUUUAUAAUCCCCUGCUCAGCUCCUAUCAUUGCACCAGCUCGUAUACACCCUUACGUAUUGCUUUGUAAUAUUUGAAACUAUCUCAUAAGUAGGAUCUGAUUUUUAUCCUUCUUGAUAUUUUCCUUGAAAAUGAUAUUUUACCCGUGGGUGUCUUUGUCUAACCUUUUUUCAAGGUAUCUAAUCAUUCACUGUGGGGCAACAUCACUACUUCAUUCUCAUGUUGUCAGAUACUUGAGUUGUUCAUGAUAUAUUUGAAAUUCAUUACAGGAAUUCUCCUCACCCCAACAGGUUAGACAUUCAGACCCCACCCUACUCCAAAGGCAUCCAGGAACCACAAAGACUUUUUAGGUCUAAGGGACUGUGGCUACUCAGAUUGGCUACCCUUAAUCUCAGGGUUACACAGUGAUGCUGUUCAGAGGUCUUCACUUGUCUCCUUGUAUCCACAUUCCGUGACAUAGUGGCAUCAGCAGAAGACAAGCUGAGUCUGAGCAUAUGAACUGAGGAGCAGUGAUCCCCAGUCUGCACUGUUGAUCCCACGCAAGGCCACCUUCACUGACAAUGUUGCAGCAAUAAAACACAAGACAGACUCUGUCUGCAUCCCAGCAACUUUGAGAACCCUAGUCUAGAUAUUUAUCAGCCACCAACCCAAGCUGUGAACAAGCAGUGAGAGGCAGUAAUGGACAGACUAUGUCCUUGAUUUGUGUGUGGAAGUCUCAAUCACCAGAACCUUAAAAUGUGACUAUAUUUGAAGACAGUCUCCUUAAAAAAACAGCUGGGUUUCAUGUUGUCCCUUAAGAGUAUCUGUGUAAGAAGAAAUUAAGAUAGAUAUAGUGCAGAGGGAAGAUAUUGUGGAGACACAUGGAGAUGGCUCCAAGUCAAAAGGGACGCACUCACACACAUUGAUCUCAAGCUUUCAGCCUUCCGAACCGCCAGGAAUAAAGUUCUCUUGAAGCCACUCAGUCUGUGGAAGUUUGGUAAAGCAGCUUCAGCAGACACGUGCAGAAGUGCGAGGGCUGGAAGGAAGAGAUAAAGCUAACAUGCCAGUGCCAGGGUCAACCACAGAGAAAGCCAAGCAUACCAGUAAACCCUCUGCAAGCAUUAACAAGAUGUUUCUGCAUGAUGGUCAGACACAAAAGCAAUUAUGGAAGCCUUUGCGUGUCUCCCUGUCAGUAGAUGCCAAUCAUGAAACAUAAUAAAAACAUAACACAGUGUUCACAGGAAUCAAUUCGUCAAGGAGCCCUUUGGGGAAGAAAAAUUAAAUUCAAUUAAACAGCAUAAAGGGAAGACGUGAAUAAACAGGGAGAUAUUCCUUGUUCAUGAUGGGAUAUCGUAACAUUGUAAAAAUGUCAAAUCCCAUCAGAUUAAUUUACAAAUCUGGUGAAACUGAAUGUGAGUUCCAGAUGAAUGGGUUGAGAAGCUUGAUAGACUUGUUCUGAGGUGAAUAAAUAUGUAUUUAUUCAUAUAAA